CUGACCACCCUGAGAGUACCAUGCUGGAGGGGCUGAGUAGGGAUGCUCCCAUCCAUAUCCCAGCUAAGCUGCCAGGUGACAACUGCAGCAACGGCCUGUCACAUGAACGAUCAACCUUGGACAGCAAGCCCAGUCACACCGUGAGAUGACUGCAGCACCUGCAGAGAUCUGAGUGCAAUCCAUGACAGAUGCCAGCCUCAUUCUGGAAAAUUGGCCAAGAAGAAUAUUAACAAUUUGGUCUAUAUUUGCUCUCUACAUCAUUUCCAUGUCUCCCAUAACCCUGAAUUCUACUGGUUUUCUGGUCUACCUCCAGCCUGAUGUCACGUUACCAUUGAUUGAAAGUAUACUGUGAGGAUGAGCUGUGAUAUGAAAAAUUGAGGCCAAAAGAAGGCUCCUUGGAGACAUUGGAAAGCAAGCUACAAACAUGACUAUGCUUCUCUGGAAUGCGAACUCCACAACAGCAAGGAUUUUGCUUUCCCUGCUGUGACCCCAUUGCAUUAACAGCACCUGGUGCACAG